rnacentral:rRNA from 1 species
GACGAACGCUGGCGGCGUGCUUAACACAUGCAAGUCGAACGGAAAGGCCCUGCUUGCGGGGUACUCGAGUGGCGAACGGGUGAGUAACACGUGGGUGAUCUGCCCUGCACUUCGGGAUAAGCCUGGGAAACUGGGUCUAAUACCGGAUAGGAGCCAUUUUUAGUGUGAUGGUUGGAAAGUUUUUUCGGUGUAGGACGAGCUCGCGGCCUAUCAGCUUGUUGGUGGGGUAAUGGCCUACCAAGGCGGCGACGGGUAGCCGGCCUGAGAGGGUGGACGGCCACAUUGGGACUGAGAUACGGCCCAGACUCCUACGGGAGGCAGCAGUGGGGAAUAUUGCACAAUGGGCGCAAGCCUGAUGCAGCGACGCCGCGUGGGGGAUGACGGCCUUCGGGUUGUAAACUCCUUUCGCUAGGGACGAAGCUUUUUGUGACGGUACCUAGAUAAGAAGCACCGGCUAACUACGUG